UACGAAGGGGGCUAGCGUUGCUCGGAAUCACUGGGCGUAAAGCGCACGUAGGCGGCUUUUUAAGUCAGGGGUGAAAUCCUGGAGCUCAACUCCAGAACUGCCUUUGAUACUGAGAGGCUCGAGUCCGGGAGAGGUGAGUGGAACUGCGAGUGUAGAGGUGAAAUUCGUAGAUAUUCGCAAGAACACCAGUGGCGAAGGCGGCUCACUGGCCCGGUACUAACGCUGAGGUGCGAAAGCGUGGGGAGCAAACAGG
rnacentral:rRNA from 1 species